GUCCAACACUGUGAUGGUGGCAUGAAUAGUACUGGCAAUCUGGAGCAGUGGUGCCAACAAAUGUAUGAUGCUGGCCAACGCUCACCUCAUCUUCUUGCCUUCAUGAUAGACCUUAUGGAAGACAAGAUGGAGCGAGAGGCCUCGGAAAGACCGCAUGUACUGAAGAAAACUCAGGAGCUAUGUGAAUCUUUGGCCAUGGAACAUGACAAGAUUCGCCGCGAGUACUGGAUGUAUAUAGAACGAAGCCUUAGUCACAGAUUUGGCGCUUAGGCAGUUGAAUUCAGAUCUCGGUGUUCCAGUGCCCUUAUUUAAUACUGGAUCUCAGUGUGCAGAUAGUAAUAAAACACGGCAAUUCCUUCACAAAUCAAGCACUGACUACACCCUCCCCAGAGUGGACAGUAGUACAAAAGUUAAUUAACUUCAAGAUUAAGAAGAGCAAACAGAGUUGUGUACUAACAGUAUUUCUCAAAGAAAUAUCCGACUUUUAUGGUAAGAUUUGUGUGUAUCAGUCCUAGAAUAUGGAAAAUAUUUAUAUAUUAUAGUAUUGGUAACUAUAUUAGGUCAUUCAGGAGUCACUUAUAUAAUAUAUUGUACGU
rnacentral:misc_RNA from 1 species